CCUACGGGUGGCAGCAGUGGGGAAUAUUGGACAAUGGGCGAAAGCCUGAUCCAGCCAUGCCGCGUGUGUGAAGAAGGCCUUCGGGUUGUAAAGCACUUUCAGUGGGGAAGAAAGCCUUGGGGCUAAUACCCUCGAGGAAGGACAUCACCCACAGAAGAAGCACCGGCUAACUCCGUGCCAGCAGCCGCGGUAAUACGGAGGGUGCGAGCGUUAAUCGGAAUUACUGGGCGUAAAGCGCGCGUAGGCGGUCUGAUAAGCCGGUUGUGAAAGCCCCGGGCUCAACCUGGGAACGGCAUCCGGAACUGUCAGGCUAGAGUGCAGGAGAGGAAGGUAGAAUUCCCGGUGUAGCGGUGAAAUGCGUAGAGAUCGGGAGGAAUACCAGUGGCGAAGGCGGCCUUCUGGACUGACACUGACGCUGAGGUGCGAAAGCGUGGGUAGCAAACAGGAUUAGCUACCCCUGUAGUC
rnacentral:rRNA from 1 species